UACUAUCUCCCUCAGUGGGUUGUUCCCCAGUGGAGUUUGUUUGAGGUGGCUGUUAGUAUUCCCCGAGUAGAGUUGCUUGUACAGCUGGAUUCUACUUCGGUGUUCUGUUCUCCUUUUGUGGGUUGUUCCCCAGCGGAGUUAUUUCAGAGUUGCUCCUCAUAACAAUUCUCGCCUGUGAAGUGAACUUUUUGUUUCUCAGUUGACGCUGAUGGUUCCCCUGCAGGGAUUUUG
rnacentral:lncRNA from 1 species